CCUACGGGUGGCAGCAGUGGGGAAUAUUGCGCAAUGGGCGAAAGCCUGACGCAGCGACGCCGCGUGAGGGAUGAAGGUCUUCGGAGCGUAAACCUCUGUCAGCAGGGAAGAACGGUCACGGGGCUAAUCAGCAGUGAAUUGACGGUACCGGCAAAGGAAGCACCGGCUAACUCCGUGCCAGCAGCCGCGGCAAUACGGAGGGGGCGAGCGUUAAUCGGAAUUACGGGGCGGAAAGCGCUCGUAGGCGGUAUGUCAAGUCAAGGGUGAAAUCCCCGCGCCCAACGUGGGAACUGCCUUUGAAACUGGCAACCUGGAGUGUGUGAGAGGCUAGUGGAAUUCCAGGUGUAGGCGU
rnacentral:rRNA from 1 species